rnacentral:tRNA from 1 species
GGAGAGGUGCGGGAGUGGUUUAACCGGCACGCCUGGAAAGCGUGUAGGCGUCAAAAGCGCCACGUGGGUUCGAAUCCCACCCUCUCCGCCA